GAUUUUUUAUCUUACUCUAUUGCAAUGAGGCAUGUUUAAUAACCUGUUCGAGCAACCAGUGAAGGGCAAGUCUGGUGCCAGCAGCCGCGGUAAUUCCAGCUUCACGAGUGUAUAUUUAAGUUGUUGCAGUUAAAAAGCUCGUAGUUGAACUUCUGUUUGUUCAGGAGGCGUGCAAGCGCAGCCUGGGCGAACAUCCGCCUGAAAAAUCAUUCGGGUCUUCACUGAUUCAGUGAUGGAUCAGGCAUUUUACUUUGAAAAAAUUAGAGUGUUCAAAGCAGGCUUUCGCCUGAAUACAUUAGCAUGGAAUAAUAGAAUAGGACGCUGUUCAAUUUGUUGGUUAUUGAAUUGCGUAAUGAUUAAUAGGGACAGUUGGGGGCAUUUGUAUUUAAUUGUCAGAGGUGAAAUUCUUGGAUUUAUUAAAGACAAACUUAUGCGAAAGCAUUUGCCAAGGAUGUUUUCAUUAAUCAAGAACGAAAGUUAGAGGAUCAAAGACGAUCAGAUGCCGUCCUAGUUUUAACUAUAAACUAUGCCGACUCGGUCUCAGUCAAGUCUUCCUAACUUGAUUGGUGCCGUAUGAGAAAUCAAAGUCUUUGGGUUCCGGGGGGAGUAUGGUCGCAAGGUUGAAACUUAAAGGAAUAGACGGAACAUCACUACCAGGUGUGGAUCCUGCGGCUUAAUUUGACCCAACACGGGGAAACUUACCAGCGCAAAACAAGGGUGGGAUUGACAGAUUGAGAGCUCUUUCUUGAUUCUUUGGAUAGUGGUGCAUGGCCGUUCUUAGUUGGUGGAGUGAUUUGUCUGCUUAAUUGCGUUAACGAACGAGACCUCAACCUACUUACUAGACGCGUGAUUAAUUCAUCGCGUGUUCUUCUUAGAGGGACUGUGCGGAGACAAACGCAAGGAAGUUUGAGGCAAUAACAGGUCUGUGAUGCCCUUAGAUGUGCUGGGCCGCACGCGGGAUACAAUGACCCGUUCAGAAAGUAUAACCUGACCCGGAAGGGAGUGGGUAAUCUUUUUAAUGCGGGUCGUGCUAGGGAUCGAUCUUUGCAAUUAUAGAUCUUGAACGAGGAAUACCUAGUAAGUGCAAGUCAUCAGCUUGUACUGAUUACGUCCCUGGUGUUUGUACUCACCGCCCGUCGCUCCUACCAAUUUCGAAUGAUCCGGUGAACCUUUUGGAUUGGGUGCAAGCCUAAGAAGUUAAGUAAACCUUAUCAUUUAGAGGAAGGAGAAGUC
rnacentral:rRNA from 1 species